AGGUUACAGAUGAAAUAUCGUCAAAGAUUGAUGUCAGUGUUUUCAAACAAACACCAGAAUGGGUUCAAGGACAUAUCACCAUGGGACUUCAAGGUUCAAGGUUCAUACUCAUGUCAGAAAAUCAGAAUAUUUACGUCGGAAAUAAACUGAAUAUGUCACAUGGUUUGCAAUUAUGGCCAGUGUUUAGGAUAUACAAUACACAUUUAAUAAAUAUGUCCUUUACAAUUCAAUCAAAAGACAACAUCAGUUUCAAUAGAACCAGUUUGGAUCCACAUCUGUUUAUUUCAGAUGAUAACAAUACAAUAUCAAAUUGGUAUUUACAAUUCGAACAGGAACACACAUUAAGUUUCGUAAACGUUUAUAUGUACUUUGAAAAAGCAUUCUUUGUCACUA
rnacentral:lncRNA from 1 species